rnacentral:rRNA from 1 species
CGGAGGGUGCAAGCGUUAUCCGGAUUCACUGGGUUUAAAGGGUGCGUAGGCGGCUAUAUAAGUCAGUGGUGAAAGCCCGCAGCUCAACUGCGGAAUUGCCAUUGAAACUGCAUAGCUUGAAUCUGGUUGAAGUGGGCGGAAUACAUCAUGUAGCGGUGAAAUGCCUAGAUAUGAUGUAGAACACCGAUUGCGAAGGCAGCUCACUAAGCCAACAUUGACGCUGAGGCACGAAAGCGUGGGUAGCGAACAGGAUUAGAUACCCUGGUAGUCCACGCCCUAAACGAUGAAUACUCGAUGUGUGCUCCUUGAGGGUACGCGUCCAAGCAAAAGCGUUAAGUAUUCCACCUGGGAAGUACGGCCGCAAGGUUA